rnacentral:rRNA from 1 species
AAUGAACGCUGGCGGCAGGCCUAACACAUGCAAGUCGAACGGAUCCUUCGGGAUUAGUGGCGGACGGGUGAGUAACGCGUGGGAACAUACCCUUUGGUACGGAAUAGCCUCGGGAAACUGGGAGUAAUACCGUAUGUGGUCGAGAGACGAAAGAUUUAUCGCCAAAGGAUUGGCCCGCGUUGGAUUAGGUAGUUGGUGGGGUAAUGGCCUACCAAGCCGACGAUCCAUAGCUGGUUUGAGAGGAUGAUCAGCCACACUGGGACUGAGACACGGCCCAGACUCCUACGGGAGGCAGCAGUGGGGAAUCUUAGACAAUGGGGGAAACCCUGAUCUAGCCAUGCCGCGUGAUCGAUGAAGGCCUUAGGGUUGUAAAGAUCUUUCAGGUGGGAAGAUAAUGACUGUACCACCAGAAGAAGCCCCAGCUAACUCCGUGCCAGCCGCCGCCGUAAUAC